rnacentral:rRNA from 1 species
GACGAACGCUGGCGGCGUGCCUAAUACGUGCAAGUAGAACGCUGAAGAGAGGAGCUUGCUCUUCUUGGAUGAGUUGCGAACGGGUGAGUAACGCGUAGGUAACCUGCCUUGUAGCGGGGGAUAACUAUUGGAAACGAUAGCUAAUACCGCAUAACAAUGGAUGACCCAUGUCAUUUAUUUGAAAGGGGCAAAUGCUCCACUACAAGAUGGACCUGCGUUGUAUUAGCUAGUAGGUGAGGUAACGGCUCACCUAGGCGACGAUACAUAGCCGACCUGAGAGGGUGAUCGGCCACACUGGGACUGAGACACGGCCCAGACUCCUACGGGAGGCAGCAGUAGGGAAUCUUCGGCAAUGGGGGCAACCCUGACCGAGCAACGCCGCGUGAGUGAAGAAGGUUUUCGGAUCGUAAAGCUCUGUUGUAAGUCAAGAACGAGUGUGAGAGUGGAAAGUUCACACUGUGACGGUAGCUUACCAGAAAGGGACGGCUAACUACGUG